UACGAAGGGGGCUAGCGUUGCUCGGAAUCACUGGGCGUAAAGGGUGCGUAGGCGGGUCUUUAAGUCAGGGGUGAAAUCCUGGAGCUCAACUCCAGAACUGCCUUUGAUACUGAAGAUCUUGAGUUCGGGAGAGGUGAGUGGAACUGCGAGUGUAGAGGUGAAAUUCGUAGAUAUUCGCAAGAACACCAGUGGCGAAGGCGGCUCACUGGCCCGAUACUGACGCUGAGGCACGAAAGCGUGGGGAGCAAACAGGGAUUAGAAACC
rnacentral:rRNA from 1 species